ensembl:miRNA MIR345 microRNA 345
GAGACCCAGCCCCAGGUCUGCUGACUCCUAGUCCAGAGCCCGUGGUGGCCGUGGGGCCCUGAACUUGGGGUCUGGAGGCCGGGGUUUGGAUAGCACCUGCCUCUCUGAC